rnacentral:rRNA from 1 species
GAGUGGCGGACGGGUGAGUAAUGUCUGGGAAACUGCCUGAUGGAGGGGGAUAACUACUGGAAACGGUAGCUAAUACCGCAUAACGUCGCAAGACCAAAGAGGGGGACCUUCGGGCCUCUUGCCAUCGGAUGUGCCCAGAUGGGAUUAGCUAGUAGGUGGGGUAAAGGCUCACCUAGGCGACGAUCCCUAGCUGGUCUGAGAGGAUGACCAGCCACACUGGAACUGAGACACGGUCCAGACUCCUACGGGAGGCAGCAGUGGGGAAUAUUGCACAAUGGGCGCAAGCCUGAUGCAGCCAUGCCGCGUGUAUGAAGAAGGCCUUCGGGUUGUAAAGUACUUUCAGCGGGGAGGAAGGGAGUAAAGUUAAUACCUUUGCUCAUUGACGUUACCCGCAGAAGAAGCACCGGCUAACUCCGUGCCAGCAGCCGCGGUAAUACGGAGGGUGCAAGCGUUAAUCGGAAUUACUGGGCGUAAAGCGCACGCAGGCGGUUUGUUAAGUCAGAUGUGAAAUCCCCGGGCUCAACCUGGGAACUGCAUCUGAUACUGGCAAGCUUGAGUCUCGUAGAGGGGGGUAGAAUUCCAGGUGUAGCGGUGAAAUGCGUAGAGAUCUGGAGGAAUACCGGUGGCGAAAGCGGCCCCCUGGACGAAGACGGACGCUCAGGUGCGAAAGCGUGGGGAGCAAACAGGAUUAGAU